UCCCUGGUGGCUCAGACGGUGAAGCAUCUGUCUGCAGUGCAGGAGACCUGGGUUCAAUCCCUGGGUGGGGAA
rnacentral:tRNA from 1 species